GACUCUUGGCAACGGAUAUCUCGGCUCUCGCAUCGAUGAAGAACAUAGCUAAAUGUGAUACUUGGUGCGAAUUGCAAAAUCCCGUGAACCAUCGAGUCUUUGAAUGCAAGCUGUGCCCGAAGCCAUUAGGUUGAGGGUGUGUCUGCUUGGGCAUCU